CGCCGCCCCGCCGCCCCGCCGCCCCGGCGCCGGCCCCUCUCACCCUUUCAUCCUCUGCCCGGGGCCUGACGCGGGCCGGCGGAUCCCCGGCCUCACAUCGGAGUGAGAGGCGCUGGCGAUGGACCGGGAGGCUCGGCUGCCGCUGCUGCUGCUCCCCCCUGGGCUCCGGCGGGAGCCUUUCCCGGUCAGGCAAGAGGGGUGAGGAUCAUAUUUUUAUUUUGGAAACUCAAAAGUGCUCCCGGGGUCGGUGAUUAUUAAGGGGAAAUCCCUGAAUAUACUCUGCAGCCAAGAAGGCAGGGCUGCCGGGGCCGCACUAGAAGAGGCGGCAGCCUCCUACAGCACCACUACAGGCACUGCGAGGACAUAACACCAGAGAGCCGCUCCUCGGCCUCCGAAACGACAACUUUCCUACCAUCUUGGAGGCCGAGCAAAGGGGGGCCGGGGGGAAAAGUGCACCCGCUCCCGAUAAAGUACACAUCUCGACUUCUCAUCUCCGGAAAACCGUCCACACCGGCCGUCUACACCGGCGCCUGGGGCGGGGGGAGCGGGGAAGACCCCGGGGGUGCUUGAGAAAAACCCUCUCCGUGGCACCCCCGGGGGGAGAGGGGGGGAUGUUUCUGCAUCUUCUGCUGGAAAGAAAUCUUUACAAGACACAGGUUUUCCGCAAUGGGAAUCAAGCCUAUUAAGUGUUCCAGGAAGGCGUGAUACAGCUGUUGGUCUUGCACAGUGCCCACCGAGGCAGAGAUCACGGGAGAGGUUAAAUAGGACUGAAGCAUCACUGACCACGGUCCUGGAAAUGAUUCUGAUUCUGUGAUGGUCUACCCAGGAAGAAAGGUAAAACUGGAAAUAGAUGUGAAAGACAGCUUUAGACUUUCUUUAGAAUUGCUUUUAUUAAGAAAAAUGUGCUGGUUAUAUCCCGAUACUGGGUUUCCUAGUUGGAUUCCCUGGAUCUUGGGUGCAUCGCACGUGUUGCUGUCCACUUUCUGUGUCGCAGACGGAGAAAACUCUGUUUCUGUUGGAGUUGCUGUGUUGUUAGUUGGUGACUCCCAGCGUGCUUCCAGCCUGUAUAAAUUACUUUUAAGAUGUUGCAGGGGAUGUCACGGGUCUACUUUUUCUUAAUGAGCGACGCUUAACUGGGAUCAAAGUCGCACAAAACUGAGGCAGGUGGCACAGAGGUGAGAGAAGACCAGUGCCGCCCCCUUGCAACAAUUCCCAUAGAACUCUUAUUAUUGGAGGAGAAGAAAUUAUUACAGAGAUGCUUUUCUAUUUUUGCAAAGAAAGAGAAGAAUACUAGAAAGUGACCAGAGAAUCUUUUUGGAUGUUCUAUAGGGAACGAUGAAUCGAAUCUUGGACUAAAAGUUACUUUUUUCUGACAUGUUGGCUAGCCCAGUGGGAAUGGAUUUGUCAAAUUAGUGCCUUGAAUCAGCAGAAUACUUCAUUUCUCUUAUUUAAAAUGUAUUGCAAAGCACUUAGUCAUCAGUUGGUGACUCCACUUAAAAAUAUUUCUUUUUUGAGCUUCCAAAUUUGGAAGUUCCCAUAAUGUUAAAGUGAGUCCAGAUAAUGCAUAUAUCAGAUAUUUAUUACUUUCAUGUUGACCCCCAUCUUUAUCAUCUAAAUUUGAAUAUAGUACCUGAGUAGAUUGGGUUUUCUUUAGUGGUCUUUUUUUGUUGUUGUUUCCUUAGUAGAAAAAUCUAAAGUAAUGAAAGAAAACUGAUUCCUGUCGUCUUGGAAACCUCAACUGUGAAGUUGUGUUCUAUCUACAUUUUUUUUUAAGUUAAGGAUUUUUUUUUAAGAGAUUUUAUUUAUUUAUUCAUGAGAGACACACACAGAGAGAUAGAGAGAGAGAGAGAGAGGCAGAGGGAGAAGCAGGCUCCAUGCAGGGAGGACUCGAUCCUGGGUCUCCAGGAUCAGGCCCUGGGCUGAAGGUGGCGCUAAACCGCUGAGCCGAGCCACCCGGGCUGCCUAUCUACGAGUUUUUAAAAAAACAUUUGGAGAUCAAGCACGUUGGUCUAACAAGGAAAUUACUUGCCUUAACGUAGAACUCCAGUAGACUUGAAAAACGUGUUUCAAACUUGUUCUUCUAUAUGAUGCGACUUUAUAGGUAUGCUUUGCAUUUUUCAAGAAAUUAAGAUGUGUUCACUUUAAGCUGACUGCACCCUUUUCUGCAAUCCCUGUUGUGUCCCACAAACUUAUUUGCAUGAUAGGGAUAUGGGAUAUGAUGCAUAAUCUUAGCAUGUCAGUGUCUUUCUCUCUAUAAAGCUUGGUGUGUAUAUGGCUAUAAUCCAUCAUGUUUAUCCACCAGUUGAGCUAAAUAACCCAGAUUUGGGGAAUUACAGCCUAACCAAGAAGAAGUCUCACUAUAUUUGCAAUAUUGGUGAAUUUGGUCAGUAUUUUAGUCGAUCAUUGAACUCCUAUUAGGUGCUGUGUCUCCAUAAUUCCUAGAAGCUGCAAAUGGUAACAAAACUACUGACAACUAGGGUUCGUGGGUGGCUCAGUCAGUUAAGUGGGGGACUUUGGCUCAAAUCAUGAUCUCAGGGUCCUGGGAUCGAGCCCCAACUCAGGCUCCCUGUUCAGCAAGGAGUCUGCUUCUCUCUCUCUCUCUCUCUCUCUCUCUCUCAAAUAAAUAAGUUGAAUCUUUUAAAAAAACAACAAACUACUGCCAUAAUUAAUCUUAAAUAAACCGAUUUUUGCCUAGUAAAAUUCCCAGUACUCAAAUUUGGCUAAUAUUAUUGAGCCCCUACUGCAUUUUGGUAACCUUGCCAAACACUUCAUAUCUGUGCUCUCAUUUAAUACCCGCAAGAGCUCCCUCCUUUCUCUCCUCCUCCUCCUCCUUUUUUUUUUUAAUAUUUUAUUUAUUUAUUCAUGGAAGACACACAGAGAGAGAGAGGCAGAGACAGAGGUAGAGGGAGAAGCAGGCUCCCACAUGGGACUCCAUCCCGGGUCUCCGGAAUCUCAACCUGGGCCGAAGGUGGCGCUAAAUGGCUGAGCCACCUGGGCUGCCCCCUCCUCCUGCUUUCUUCAUUUAAAUACAGUUAGGAGAACUGUCUACAUUUCAAGGGGCGUAGACCUUGGCUUUAAAACUUUCUAAAAAAGAUUUCAAAUUCUUGUGCUUUAGAAUUUCCGAGGUGCCUACCACAGCUCUAUCUGGAAAUGCUAAAUUCCUGCCUCAUGCUCUAUGCCAAAACCAAAUUUUGAGUAGCCAGCAAUGGGAGCUCCCUUCAUUAGUGGCAACCAAUGGCCUGUCUCACCUUGCUGAGGUCUAGUAACUAGGUCUCUGUUCUUUUGAGGAAUGCAAAUUGUCAAUUGAGUUUUACUGAAAUGAUACUUGAAGCCGUAGUGUUUUAUUCAUUCUGUUACUGUGUCUUAAUUUCACAAGCAGUUUGGCCUUUAGUUGAAACAGGAAAUGUUUGCCUUAAUGUUUUUGCUAUAUUAGAAUCUUUCACUGAUCUGCAUUUUGGUAUUAAUUAUUAUUGUAAAAAUUAACCACCUAUUAUGAACACUUAUAGUGAAGUUAUUAAGGAAACACCACCUAUAGUCUUAAAACAUCUCAUUCAUAGACUGUAAAUUUAAAUGAAAGAUUUAUGCAUGUUUAAUGUAUUAGAUGUCUUUAAGCAAUAAAACCAUGCCUUUGUUGACAAAUGUUUGCUGACAGAAUCAUUAAGUGUUUAAAAAGUCACUGACUGGGGCACCUGGGUGCCUUAGUGGUUGAGCAUCUGCCUUCGGCUCAGGGUGUGAAUAUGAGGUCCUAGGAUCGAGUCCUGAGUUGGGCUCCCUCCAAGGAGCCUGCUGCUUCUCCCUCUGCGUAUGUCUCUGCCUCUUUCCAUGUAUCUCUCAUGAAUAAAUAAAUAAAAUCUAAAAAAAAAAAUACCCUGACAGCAGACGUGGUUAUACAAAUUAUACAUGGGGUUUUCGUGGGGGGAAAAGGGUAUGGAUAUAAACCUUCCCUAAUUAUAUAGAUAUUUAUCAUAACAUUUCUAAAGACAGACUCUAAAGUCACAUCAGAAGUCCCUACCGGUGUAAAAAUUCCCAAGGAGGUGAAAAGGUAGAAGUAGGGCGUGUGUACAGAGCCUAAAAGUUUUUUUUAAAACCACACUAUUACAAUGGCCAUAGACACAAUUUUUUUUUUUUCACUUUAAGCAUUUCUGUUUUGGAAACAUUUGUUGGUAAUAUAUCUAUCUGAAACAAAGAUUUGGUUUUAUUGUGGUUACUGUGCCCUGCAAGAAAAUGUUUCUGAGACCAGCAUGUUUGGCAGACGUCCACAACAUGGCUUUAGAUGAUUUAAGUAUGAAAUUUCUGUAAUAUGGAUUCAACUGUAGUCAAAACACACAUGAUCAGGUAAUCUCUCAAGUCCUAACACCUAACCCAGGGUACCUGAGAAUUACUACCUGAUGCCAAGCCAGAAACCAAGAAAAUCUUGGGGUUUUUUGUUUGUUUCUUUUUUAAUUCCCACAAGGUCCAAAAGAUACCUUCCAGGACCCUGUUGGUCACCGGCAGCAGCAGGGGCAAGACGUGUCCCUGGUGCCAUUUAGCCACCUUAUCAUGCCAUAGGCAGAAGAAUGUAACCUCCUAGCCUCGGCUGUUGGCAUUCUGGGGGUGGUCUAUAGACUAUUAACCUACGUUAAGGAAAACAACUCUCCAACUGAAGUUGCAUUUUAAGUAAUGAUUAGUAAAAGGAAGCACCCAAAAGCAGUAUGAAUGAUUGGAUUUACGUUAGAAUUAUAAAUGAUUGUCAGCCUUUUCUAUAAUUGACAAUGGAAAACUGUCCCCAAAGUGGUUGUUAGCUAAGACCUUGUAGUAAGAAGAGAAAUCCAUAGAGCCCUCAGAAUAACAGGCAGAGGUCAACGCAAAGAUUAUAGUGUUCAUUUCUGCUGCAUUCCUGGUUAAGGGAGCUUAUGUAGACCCACUGGGAACUUAACCACUAUGUCCAUGGGAAAAUAAAUUCCAGGUUCGAAACAGCUAAUGGACAGUGAUGUUCUGGAACAUGUUCAUUAGUAACACUGGACUUCCUGUACUGUAACAUCUUUGCCAUGUAUUUGUUAGAGACCACCAGAAUUCAGUAGUAAGGGUGGGGGAAAAGGGGGAGAUUCUUUCAUUCAAUUAAAGUAAACAGUUACUAUUUUUUUUUAAUAUUUAUUUAUUUAUUUUAGAGAGCGUGAGAGGCGCGGGUGGGAUGGGACGCAGGGAAGAGAAUCUGGAGCAGACUCUCAACUGAGUGCGGAUUCCCCACUUGGGGCUGCAUCUCAGGACCCAUGAGAGUCUGACCUGAGCCGAAACCAAGAGUCAGGCUCUUCUCCAGCUGUGCCACCCAGGCGCCCCAAUAAGAAAUUACUAUUAACACAACUCAAGUAGCUUGAUUCAAAUUCAGGUGAGGGAAAUAAGCUGAUUAAUUAUUAAAGGGUAAGGCCAGUUGUACACCAGGAGGGAAAACCUCCGUAACCAAAAAUUGUACUUUUUACCUUAACUAUAUAGUGUUUAUUUUAUGCAUGUUUGGGUGCUAUGUGAGCUUACAAGUAGGUAUUUGCAUUUUAUUUUAUUAUUUUAUUUUAUUAUUAUUUACUUCAAAUAAGAUUCCACUAAAAAUUGUGAUGCUUGGGUGGUUCAGUGGUUGAGCGUCUGUCUUUGGCUCAGGUCGGGAUCCUGGGAUCGAGUCCUGCAUCAGGCUCCCCACGGGAAGCCUGCUUCUCCCUCUGCCCAUCUCUCUGCCUCUCUCUGUGUGUCUCUCAUGAAUAGAUAAAUAAAAUCUUAAAAGAAAAAAAAAAGAUUGUACUAAAAAUUAUCCAACCUCAUCCUUCUAUUAGGCUGAGGCUGGUUUUUUGCCCCACACAGCAAGCCAUGGCCAUUCUUGUCUUGAUGCCCUAUUCCCACUCUGCUUUGAUGCCUUCCUCAAAAUCUUAUCCCAAAAGCCUUCUGGUGCCAACCUGAGUCUACAGUGACCUUAUUCUUAAUUUAAUGCAUUGUUUUCUAGGUUCUUUAGGGGGAGUUUGCUUAUUUGUUUCCAUGCCUGUUCCUUCUGUGCAAAAGAGCGUGAAGUGGUUAGGAGCUUAAUCUCCAGUCAAGGCCAUCUGGUUUAGGGAAUUGGCUUUACCACUUUCUUUGGUGGUGUGAUCCUGGGCAAGCUAUUUAACCUCUCAGUUUCCUCAUUUGUCAAAAUGAAAAUAAUAAUAAUACCUACCUUACUGUAUUGUCCUAAGAUUCAGUGGUAUAGUGCCUGUGAGACCCACGGCAGGUAAUAAGUGUUAUGUAAAGGUUAACUGCCCUUUUUGGUUGCUUGCCAUUAAACACCUUACAGGCAGUAUGGCUCAAGGUCAGGGAGUGGGGUUUUGUUUUUUGUUUUGUUUUGAAACACUACCAAGACAGUGGGCUUAGCAGCACUAGUCACAAGUUGACCUCAACACAGAAAAAGAUGAAAGGAGACUAAGAUUAUGGCAUACCAAAUAUCUACAUUACAACAGAAACAGUCCACUGAUUUUUUUUUUCCAGAUAGUUUUGUUUUUAAGAUUUUAUUUUUAAGUAAUCUCUACACCCAUCAUGGAGGUGGAACUUACAACGCCACGAUCAAGAGUUUCAUGCUUUACCUACUGAGCCAGGUGGGUGCCCCUCGAGAUAGUUUUGAAUACCCACAUAGUUGACAGUCUACAAUAAAGAAUUCUAGGUUUAGCUGAGAUUUUGGUGUGUCCUUCAGAUUCAGUCAAGGUAUUAAAUAUAAAAUGGAGUACAGGAAGAGUACCCACAGAAUACACAACAGAAUAUUGUGACUAGUUAAACCCUCAUUCAUUAACCAUUCUAAAGAAUGAGAUGCAUUUAAGUUUCAAUAUGAGGGGGGCCCCUGGGUGGAUCAGUGGUUGAGUGUUUGGUUCAGGGCGUGAUCCCGGGGUACCUGGAUCAAGUCCUACUUCGGGCACACAGUGUGGGAGCCUGCUUCUCUCCCUCUGCCUGUGUCUCUGCCUCUCUCGUGUCUUUCAUGAAUAAAUAAGUAAAAUCCUUUAAAAAAAAGUUUCCAUAGGAGUAUUUAACAAAGAUUUUUCUGAUAAGCAUAAAAAGAUUAUAAAAUAUCUUUUUGUUUAAUGAUUUUUUUUUCUUAAAGAUUUUAUUGAUUUUUUCAUGACAGACACACAGAGAGAGGCAGAAACAUAAGCAGAGGGAGAAGCAGGCUCCUCGCAGGGAGCCUGAUGCAGAACUGGAUCCCGGGACACCAGGGUUACAAUCAGAGUUGAAGGCAGACGCUCAACCACUGAGCUACCCAGGCAUCCCAAGAUUUACUUAUUUUAUUUGAGAGAGAGAGCUUAGCGUUUAGGGGCAGAGGGAGAGGGAGAGAGAAUCUUCAGCCAACUCCAUGCCGAGCCCAGAGCCUAAUGAGGGGCUCUAUCUCAUGACGCUGAGAUCACAACCUGAGCCCAAACCAAGAGUCGGAUGCCUGACUGACCAGACAUCACUGAGACACCCCAGAUUAUGAAAUAUCUCCAAAAAGAGCAACCCCACAAAGGAAAUAGUGGAUGUUUGACACAUAUAACAUUUCCAACUAGCAAUUUUAUCAGACAGGUAUUAGUUCAUUGUUUUAAAAUGCAAACACAGUGUUAGGUUAAAGUGUGGGGUUUAGAAAACCAUGUGUGAAUCCCGUAGCUAAUAUUUAUUCACUAGCUAUACAAACAGGCAAGUUCCCUAAACUCUCAGGCCUCAGUGCCCUCAUUCUUAAGACUACUGCUUGAAUAAGAUGACUUAGAGGACCAUAUGUAGUAUACUACCUGACACCUAACAGCCACUCCAUUCACUGAACAUUUCUAUUUCUUUUCCCUGAAUUUAUAGAAAGUGACUGGAAUCAAAGUAGGACUUUAAUUAGAAAACUGAAAAGAGGGCAGCCGGGGUGGUUCAGCAGUUUAGCGCCACCUUCAGCCCAGGGCAUGAUCCUGGAGACCCGGGAUCGAGUCCCACAUCAGGCUCCUUGCAUGGAGCCUGCUUCUCCCUCUGCUUGAAUCUCUGCCUCUCUCUCUGUGUGUCUCUCAUGAAUAAAUAAAUAAAACCUUAAAAAAAAAAAAAAACUGAAAAGGGGCUUUGCUCUAAAAUCGAUUUCCAAAGUAUUGAGGAACAAAUAUGUUAAUUAAAACCCUAUUUACAUAUUGACUUUUCUUGGAGGAUUUGUGUGAGAUUUCUCUUUGAAGUUAUUAGUACUAAAAAAAAGUUAUUAGUACUUUUGAUGAAAUGAAAAUUUAAUUUUUAAAAAUGUGAUUGAAGUAUAUAUUUUAACAGUAGGAUCAGUCUCAGUCAACACAGAGCCACAAACAUGUAUUCACUGAGCUAUGUGCCAGACUGCUAAGCAUUUCCCUAGCACUUGACCCUAACGGAAAAUGAUCACAAGGGUCUUCUCGUACUAGGUGAUGCAGUGCCAAGAGAACUGACCUCAACCUCUGUGGCAUGUUGUGUUUGAAACAGGGAACUUAGGAAAUCAACUUUGCAGCUAAUGACCUACUAAAGAAUAGAAUACUAGAGAAUAGAAAAUAUCCAGAGUCAUUGUGGUCAAAGUUUAUUUCAUGAAACAGUUCUCUUCAGUUAUGAGCACAUAUAAGUAUCUUUACAGUGGAUUGGGACAAGAAGUUGAAGAGCUACUACUGCUAUGUAUUAAUCAGGCUGAAAUUUGUAGGGUCCUGCAGUGGUUAAAAAGUGAAGCAGACAGGCCCUGUCCUCUCGUUGGCUUUACAGUUGACAUAUAGGAUAAAGGUCCGAACUGGCCGGGGUGAAGACUGUAGGGAGAGGUGGAACCCAGGAGGAACUUGAGACCACUAGGCUUAAAAAUACUAAGUUUCUUAUUUUUUUCUCAACUGCUGGCCAAGCUAAACAUGUUGAGGACACAUCUACUGGCUGAUGAGAACACAUGACACUGGCUAGGUUAUCUCAUGAAAAUGCAAGUUGCCGUGCAGUUUUACCAUGUUGGAACUCAAAGACGUAAAGAGGCCAUUGUGUGGUCCAAGAAUGAUAGAAAACCUGGAAACACUAGGACCUCCAUGCUUGGAAAAUAAACUGAACAGGGUUGUGAUGAAAGGCAGUGAAGGAAGAUGAGCUGAACUUUAAGUUGUUUACCUGUAAGCCAGAGAUAACUAAAAUCUCAGGUGAGGUAUUUAAAACUAAAAGGAAAAAAGUUGCUGUUUUUUCACACAGCAAGUUCUGACCCUGUGAAACUUAAUUUGAAAGAUGGAAUUUGUUGGGUAUCAGGCUAGUUCCUUCAUAGAGCAUGUGACUCUUGAUCUUGGGGUUGUGAGUUCAAGCCCCACAUUGAAUGUACAGAUUACUUAGAAAUGAAAUUUUUAAAGAAAAAAAAAGAUGGAUUUUAUUGCAAAGGUUAUGAAAAUAGGAUACUCAGCCCAAAUUGGUUAGCCUUCCUUCAAUUAGUGAAGUAUUUACUGAGUGCUUGCUGGGCAUGGCACUCAGGCUCUGUAGGGUAGUAAAAUAUGGUACCCAGUUGGGCACAGGGAGCUUAUAAUCUAGCUGCAAAGGUAGGUAAGAUCAAGGAAGCCCAGGAGAACAAGCAAGGGCUCAUAAUAGGGAACCAAAGGGGCAGAGCAAGGAGCGAAAGGUGCUCCGGAUUGUUGUCGAAGUUCAGGCCUGCCUCAUAGUAGCUGGGCCACUCUCAGAUCUCAGAGCCAAGUCUUUCUCUCCCUAGAAUGUGAGAGUAUGCUUAUGUAGAUCCAAGAAGAUAUAUGGAAAUCUCUAGCACAGCCCUGGCACACAGAAGAUCCUAGAUCAGUGUUUGUUGAAUCUCAAUGGAGAAGGUUUUAGGGGCACGUGGGUGGCUCAGUGGGUUAAGAGUGCUUUCUGCUCAGGUCAUGACCCAGGAGUCCUGGGAUCGAGCCCUGAGUCAGGCUCCCUGCUUGGCGAGAAGCCUGCUUUUCCCUCUUUGUUGCUCCACCUGCUUGUUUUCUCUCUGUAAAAUAGGUAAAUAGAAUAUUUAAAAAUAAAAUAACUGGAGAAGGUUUUUAGUUACCUGGGGCAGAGGAAGUGGCAUAUGGUAAAUAAAGCAGGAGUGAGUAUGUCUUCUCUGUAGUACAACAAAUUGUGUGCUGAAAAAGACAUAGGGCAGGGCCCAAUUAAGGGGACUUUGAAAGGCAAGCUGAAAAAUUCGAACAGAUACGACUGGCUAUGAAGAACUAUUAUUUAUAUUUAAGUAAAAAGGAUCUUCUGCUAUUUAAUUAUUCAAGGAGUACCUAUGAAUCAUGGUGUGCGAGGCACUAUGAUUAGGAUAUUGGGGAAACAGUAGCCUCUCCCCUCAAGUGGCUUCUGUCUGGCAAGAGAGAAUAGAAUUACUGUUUUGGAGAUGUUUUAUUUUAUACAGAUCCCACUUAAAAAAUGUAAGUUCUGUGGUGCCUGGGUGGCUUCUGAUUUCAGCUCAGGUCUUGAUCUCAGGGUCAUGAGUUCAAGCCUUGUGUUGAGCUCCACACUGGGAGAACAUACACUUAUGUUCCAUGAAAGCUAGGGUAUUCCCCCGCCUCCUUUCUUUUAAAUUUUUAGGGUGCCUGGUAGCUCAGUGGUUGAGUGUCUGCCUUUGGCUCAGGUCAUGAUCCCGAGGUCCCAGGAUUGAGUCCACAUCGGACUUUCUGGGGGAGUCUGCUUCUCCCUCUGCCUGUGUAUCUGCCUCUUUCUGUGUUUCUCUCAUGAAUAAAUAAAUAAAAUCUUUAAAAAAUUUUUUUAAAUUUUAUUAUUUUUUUUAAACUAGGCUUCACAUCCAACAUGGGGCUUGAACUCAUGACCUGGAGAUCAAAAGUCAGAUGCUUUACCAACUGAGCCAACCAGGCACCCCUCCUUUUCUUUUUUAAAAAAUUUUGUUCACUAAGCAUCUAGAACAGUGUUUGCCACAAAAUAUGCACCAUAAAUAUUUAUUAAAUUAAUAUUUGAGAUUUUGAAUUCUUCACCAGUUCAAUGGCUUUGAGACAAUUGUAUAAUGAAGAUAGAGUUAGUCAAUAGGUUAAAUGAGAAGGGUACUAAGGAAGCAUAUGUGGACUAUCUGUCAAUCUCAGAGUCCAAGGUGAUGAGUAAAAUAGUAUCUGUACAAUUCUAACUAUGCCAGUCACCCUUAAGGAUUAUAUUCCAAUUGUCCAUUAUUAUUAUAGUCUAGCUAAAAAAUCUGGGAGUGGUGCUAAGUAUGCUACAUUUUUCUGUUGGGUUAUUUCUGUUGUACAUUCUUUUUUUUUCUUUAAGAUUUUAUUUAUUCAUGAGAGGCAGAAAGAGGCAAAAGACAUAAGCAGAGGGAGAAGCAGGCUCCCUGUGGAGAGCCUGAUGCGGGACUCGAUCCCAGGACCCUGGGAUCAUGACCUGAGCUAAAGGCAGAUAGAUGCUCAGCCACUGAACCACCCAGCUGCCCCUUGUUGUACAUUUUUUAUUGCUAAAAACUCUUUUUAAAUGACUAAUCUGUAUGAAAACUCUCUUUUUAAAUGACUAAUGUCACUUAAUAUUGAAAAACUUACAGGUUAAAAAUAAAAAAUACAGUCUAAGAAUAUCACCUGAAGUAAAACCAAACAUACAAGAGAAAAAUAUGGUUUUCAUUAUUGCCUUUUGUGUGGAAACUCUGUGGCAUAUUUGAGGAACUGUUUUUAAGUAUUCCCUUCCCCAUUUUGUAGGACAUGAUCAAUUAUACCAUCUGCUCCCCUAGGUAACGUGGCAGCUGUUAAUUGACUAACAUUAUUCCCUGAGUUUUCCUGUAGCCAUAGAUGGUUCUAGAAAUAAAAACCAAAGAUUUGUAAGAAUAGCUUUCAUGGGGAGAGGGUGAGGCGAAUGGGUGAGAUAGGUGACGGGGGUUAAGGAGUGGACUUGUCAUAAGCACUGGCUGAUGUCUGGAAGGGUUGAAUCACUGUAUUGUGCGCGUGAAACUAAUAUAACUAUAUGUUAAGUAACUGGAAUUAAAAUUAAAACUUUAAAAAUAAAUAAAUAGAAAAAAUCAAUAUUGACCAACUGGGAAGGACAAAAUAAAUAUUUACAUAGUCAUAAAUCA